AACGAACGCUGGCGGCAUGCCUAACACAUGCAAGUCGAACGAGACCUUCGGGUCUAGUGGCGAACGGGUGCGUAACGCGUGGGAACCUGCCCUUAGGUUCGGAAUAACUCCCCGAAAGGGGUGCUAAUACCGGAUAAUGUCUUCGGACCAAAGAUUUAUCGCCUUUGGGUGGGCUCGCGUUGGAUUAGCUAGUUGGUAGGGUAAAAGCCGACCAAGGAGACGAUCCAUAGCUGGUCUGAGCGGAUGAUCAGCCACACUGAGACCAAGACACGGCCCAGACUCCUACGGGAGGCAGCAGUGGGGAAUAUUGGACAAUGGGCGAAAGCCUGAUCCAGCAAUGCCGCGUGAGUGAUGAAGGCCUUAGGGUUGUAAAGCUCUUUUACCCGGGAUGAUAAUGACAGUACCGGGAGAAUAAGCUCCGGCUAACUCCGUG
rnacentral:rRNA from 1 species